GGUUUAAUUCGAAGCAACGCGAAGAACCUUACCAGGUCUUGACAUCCUCUGACAACCCUAGAGAUAGGGCUUUCCCUUCGGGGACAGAGUGACAGGUGGUGCAUGGUUGUCGUCAGCUCGUGUCGUGAGAUGUUGGGUUAAGUCCCGCAACGAGCGCAACCCUUGAUCUUAGUUGCCAGCAUUCAGUUGGGCACUCUAAGGUGACUGCCGGUGACAAACCGGAGGAAGGUGGGGAUGACGUCAAAUCAUCAUGCCCCUUAUGACCUGGGCUACACACGUGCUACAAUGGACAGAACAAAGGGCUGCGAGACCGCAAGGUUUAGCCAAUCCCACAAAUCUGUUCUCAGUUCGGAUCGCAGUCUGCAACUCGACUGCGUGAAGCUGGAAUCGCUAGUAAUCGCGGAUCAGCAUGCCGCGGUGAAUACGUUCCCGGGCCUUGUACACACCGCCCGUCACACCACGAGAGUUUGCAACACCCGAAGUCGGUGAGGUAACCUUUAUGGAGCCAGCCGCCGAA
rnacentral:rRNA from 1 species